UAGGGAAUCUUCCGCAAUGGGCGAAAGCCUGACGGAGCAACGCCGCGUGAGUGAAGAAGGAUUUCGGUUCGUAAAGCUCUGUUGUUAGGGAAGAAUGAUUGUAUAGUAACUAUAUACAGUAGAGACGGUACCUAACCAGAAAGCCACGGCUAACUACGUGCCAGCAGCCGCGGUAAUACGUAGGUGGCAAGCGUUGUCCGGAAUUAUUGGGCGUAAAGCGCGCGCAGGUGGUUUAAUAAGUCUGAUGUGAAAGCCCACGGCUCAACCGUGGAGGGUCAUUGGAAACUGUUAAACUUGAGUGCAGGAGAGAAAAGUGGAAUUCCUAGUGUAGCGGUGAAAUGCGUAGAGAUUAGGAGGAACACCAGUGGCGAAGGCGGCUUUUUGGCCUGUAACUGACACUGAGGCGCGAAAGCGUGGGGAGCAAACAGGAUUAGAUACCCUGGUAGUCCACGCCGUAAACGAUGAGUGCUAAGUGUUGGUCUCAUAAGAGAUCAGUGCUGCAGCUAACGCAUUAAGCACUCCGCCUGGGGAGUACGACCGCAAGGUUGA
rnacentral:rRNA from 1 species